rnacentral:rRNA from 1 species
UACGUAGGGGGCAAGCGUUGUCCGGAAUCAUUGGGCGUAAAGCGCGCGUAGGCGGCCCUGUAAGUCCGCUGUGAAAGUCAAAGGCUCAACCUUUGAAAGCCGGUGGAUACUGCAGGGCUAGAGUCCGGAAGAGGCGAGUGGAAUUCCUGGUGUAGCGGUGGAAUGCGCAGAUAUCAGGAGGAACACCAAUAGCGAAGGCAGCUCGCUGGGACGGUACUGACGCUAAGGCGCGAAAGCGUGGGGAGCGAACGAGG